GUCAAGAUGUCUCUAGCCACCAAUCAACACUCUAUUGUUCAGCUAAAUGUGUCAGACCUUAGAUGAGUCACAAACCAACAUCAAAGUUUCAUGUAUGUCAUGCACAUGCCUUUUAUCUAACUUUUCAGCCAACAGCAUCAACUUGUUCACUUAAGACUGCCUGCCCACUCCGCCAACUCCUCCCAAGUCUUUGACUCUAAUUCUACCCUUUAUAAUCCCCACUAUAUCUAUGUGUAAAGUGCUACAUUCCUCAACACUGAACUACUGGCUUAAACUUUCCUGCCCAUACAUCAGUUCCAAACAAAUUGCAUCAAUGGAUCUACAAGGACACACAUCCAACACACAUCUCACAACCACUAUCUCCAAAAGAUCCUUUAUCAUACCCCAAGGAUUGCACGUCUGCUUCCUCACAGACUCAAUAUGUCGAGAUAUUAAAGACUACAUGCCAAAAGCACAAUGCUGGGUGCACCCAGGGACAACGCUUCUAAGAUCUGCUAUGCAACACACCAACCACUUUAAGACAGUACACAGCAAUAGCAUUGUGAUCAUUCACAUCGGAACAAAUGACAUUGCAAGUGGAGCACCUGCAUCAACAGUCAUCCAACGCAUGAAAACUCUCAUAAAAAGAAUAUCCCUCACUAAUCCUCACAUCCUUUACUAUGGAAUCAGUGCUAUCUUACCACGUCCGAC